UACGUAGGGGCCUAGCGUUGUCCGGAUUUAUUGGGCGUAAAGAGCUCGUAGGCGGUUUGUCGCGUCGAAUGUGAAAACCCGGGGCUCAACCCCGGGCCUGCAUUCGAUACGGGCAGACUAGAGUUCGGUAGGGGAGUCUGGAAUUCCUGGUGUAGCGGUGAAAUGCGCAGAUAUCAGGAGGAACACCGGUGGCGAAGGCGGGACUCUGGGCCGAUACUGACGCUGAGGAGCGAAAGCGUGGGGAGCAAACAGG
rnacentral:rRNA from 1 species